AACGAACGCUGGCGGCAGGCUUAACACAUGCAAGUCGAGCGCCCCGCAAGAGGAGCGGCAGACGGGUGAGUAACGCGUGGGAACGUACCCUUUGCUACGGAAUAGCUCCGGGAAACUGGAAUUAAUACCGUAUGUGCCCUACGGGGGAAAGAUUUAUCGGCAAAGGAUCGGCCCGCGUUGGAUUAGCUAGUUGGUGGGGUAAUGGCCUACCAAGGCGACGAUCCACAGCUGGUCUGAGAGGAUGAUCAGCCACAUUGGGACUGAGACACGGCCCAAACUCCUACGGGAGGCAGCAGUGGGGAAUAUUGGACAAUGGGCGCAAGCCUGAUCCAGCCAUGCCGCGUGAGUGAUGAAGGCCUUAGGGUUGUAAAGCUCUUUCACCGGAGAAGAUAAUGACGGUAUCCGGAGAAGAAGCCCCGGCUAACUUCGUGCCAGCCGCCGCCGUAAUAC
rnacentral:rRNA from 1 species